rnacentral:snoRNA from 1 species
AGUCCAUGGUGAGAACACUUUCUUAAUAAUUCCUUAAAUCUCUCCCAUGUAUCAUAAAGAGUCCCAAUAUCAAAUUGAACUAAACAAGAGAUGCCAUUUCGCAACU